CGGCGAUUUCCGAAUGGGGAAACCCAGUGUGAUUCGUCACACUAUCAUUAACUGAAUCCAUAGGUUAAUGAGGCGAACCGGGGGAACUGAAACAUCUAAGUACCCCGAGGAAAAGAAAUCAACCGAGAUUCCCCCAGUAGCGGCGAGCGAACGGGGAGGAGCCCAGAGCCUGAAUCAGUGUGUGUGUUAGUGGAAGCGUCUGGAAAGGCGCGCGAUACAGGGUGACAGCCCCGUACACAAAAAUACACAUAUUGUGAGCUCGAUGAGUAGGGCGGGACACGUGGUAUCCUGUCUGAAUAUGGGGGGACCAUCCUCCAAGGCUAAAUACUCCUGACUGACCGAUAGUGAACCAGUACCGUGAGGGAAAGGCGAAAAGAACCCCGGCGAGGGGAGUGAAAAAGAACCUGAAACCGUGUACGUACAAGCAGUGGGAGCACGCUUAGGCGUGUGACUGCGUACCUUUUGUAUAAUGGGUCAGCGACUUAUAUUCUGUAGCAAGGUUAACCGAAUAGGGGAGCCGAAGGGAAACCGAGUCUUAACUGGGCGUUAAGUUGCAGGGUAUAGACCCGAAACCCGGUGAUCUAGCCAUGGGCAGGUUGAAGGUUGGGUAACACUAACUGGAGGACCGAACCGACUAAUGUUGAAAAAUUAGCGGAUGACUUGUGGCUGGGGGUGAAAGGCCAAUCAAACCGGGAGAUAGCUGGUUCUCCCCGAAAGCUAUUUAGGUAGCGCCUCGUGAAUUCAUCUCCGGGGGUAGAGCACUGUUUCGGCAAGGGGGUCAUCCCGACUUACCAACCCGAUGCAAACUGCGAAUACCGGAGAAUGUUAUCACGGGAGACACACGGCGGGUGCUAACGUCCGUCGUGAAGAGGGAAACAACCCAGACCGCCAGCUAAGGUCCCAAAGUCAUGGUUAAGUGGGAAACGAUGUGGGAAGGCCCAGACAGCCAGGAUGUUGGCUUAGAAGCAGCCAUCAUUUAAAGAAAGCGUAAUAGCUCACUGGUCGAGUCGGCCUGCGCGGAAGAUGUAACGGGGCUAAACCAUGCACCGAAGCUGCGGCAGCGACGCUUAUGCGUUGUUGGGUAGGGGAGCGUUCUGUAAGCCUGUGAAGGUGUGCUGUGAGGCAUGCUGGAGGUAUCAGAAGUGCGAAUGCUGACAUAAGUAACGAUAAAGCGGGUGAAAAGCCCGCUCGCCGGAAGACCAAGGGUUCCUGUCCAACGUUAAUCGGGGCAGGGUGAGUCGACCCCUAAGGCGAGGCCGAAAGGCGUAGUCGAUGGGAAACAGGUUAAUAUUCCUGUACUUGGUGUUACUGCGAAGGGGGGACGGAGAAGGCUAUGUUGGCCGGGCGACGGUUGUCCCGGUUUAAGCGUGUAGGCUGGUUUUCCAGGCAAAUCCGGAAAAUCAAGGCUGAGGCGUGAUGACGAGGCACUACGGUGCUGAAGCAACAAAUGCCCUGCUUCCAGGAAAAGCCUCUAAGCAUCAGGUAACAUCAAAUCGUACCCCAAACCGACACAGGUGGUCAGGUAGAGAAUACCAAGGCGCUUGAGAGAACUCGGGUGAAGGAACUAGGCAAAAUGGUGCCGUAACUUCGGGAGAAGGCACGCUGAUAUGUAGGUGAAGUCCCUUGCGGAUGGAGCUGAAAUCAGUCGAAGAUACCAGCUGGCUGCAACUGUUUAUUAAAAACACAGCACUGUGCAAACACGAAAGUGGACGUAUACGGUGUGACGCCUGCCCGGUGCCGGAAGGUUAAUUGAUGGGGUCAGCGCAAGCGAAGCUCUUGAUCGAAGCCCCGGUAAACGGCGGCCGUAACUAUAACGGUCCUAAGGUAGCGAAAUUCCUUGUCGGGUAAGUUCCGACCUGCACGAAUGGCGUAAUGAUGGCCAGGCUGUCUCCACCCGAGACUCAGUGAAAUUGAACUCGCUGUGAAGAUGCAGUGUACCCGCGGCAAGACGGAAAGACCCCGUGAACCUUUACUAUAGCUUGACACUGAACAUUGAGCCUUGAUGUGUAGGAUAGGUGGGAGGCUUGGAAGUGUGGACGCCAGUCUGCAUGGAGCCGACCUUGAAAUACCACCCUUUAAUGUUUGAUGUUCUAACGUUGACCCGUAAUCCGGGUUGCGGACAGUGUCUGGUGGGUAGUUUGACUGGGGCGGUCUCCUCCUAAAGAGUAACGGAGGAGCACGAAGGUUGGCUAAUCCUGGUCGGACAUCAGGAGGUUAGUGCAAUGGCAUAAGCCAGCUUGACUGCGAGCGUGACGGCGCGAGCAGGUGCGAAAGCAGGUCAUAGUGAUCCGGUGGUUCUGAAUGGAAGGGCCAUCGCUCAACGGAUAAAAGGUACUCCGGGGAUAACAGGCUGAUACCGCCCAAGAGUUCAUAUCGACGGCGGUGUUUGGCACCUCGAUGUCGGCUCAUCACAUCCUGGGGCUGAAGUAGGUCCCAAGGGUAUGGCUGUUCGCCAUUUAAAGUGGUACGCGAGCUGGGUUUAGAACGUCGUGAGACAGUUCGGUCCCUAUCUGCCGUGGGCGCUGGAGAACUGAGGGGGGCUGCUCCUAGUACGAGAGGACCGGAGUGGACGCAUCACUGGUGUUCGGGUUGUCAUGCCAAUGGCACUGCCCGGUAGCUAAAUGCGGAAGAGAUAAGUGCUGAAAGCAUCUAAGCACGAAACUUGCCCCGAGAUGAGUUCUCCCUGACUCCUUGAGAGUCCUGAAGGAACGUUGAAGACGACGACGUUGAUAGGCCGGGUGUGUAAGCGCAGCGAUGCGUUGAGCUAACCGGUACUAAUGAACCGUGAGG
rnacentral:rRNA from 1 species